rnacentral:rRNA from 1 species
AUGGCCAUUUCAUCACUUCUCAUGCUUGUCACAUGAAAUAUGUGGAUUGAAAAAAACGCAAGUAUUUUUCGAAACAAGUCCACUAUGCCUACUAUUCUGGUCGACAAUACCAAAUUGGAGGCAAGGAAUUGGGUCAUUGCGGGACGAAACAUUUGUGCUCUUUGA